AGUCAGAUAGCUCAGUGGUCUAGAGCAGUCGCCCGGCAAGCGAAAGACCCGGGUUCGAUUCCCGGUCUAGCGA
rnacentral:tRNA from 1 species